rnacentral:rRNA from 1 species
GACGAACGCUGGCGGCGUGCUUAACACAUGCAAGUCGAACGGAAAGGCCCUGCUUGUGGGGGGUGCUCGAGUGGCGAAGGGGUGAGUAACGCGUGAGUAACCUGCCCUUGACUUUGGGAUAACUGCAGGAAACUGUGGCUAAUACCGGAUAGGAGCUCCUGCUGCAGGGGGGGGGAUGGAAAGUUUCGUCGGGUGGGGUUGGACUCGCGGCUUGUCUGUUGGUUGGUGGGGUAGUGGCUUACCAAGGGUUUGAUGGGUAGCCGGCCUGGGAGGGUGACCGGCACAAUUGGGAUUGGGUUACGGCCCGGCCUCCUCCGGGGGGAAGAGGUGGGGAAUAUGCAACAAUGGGCGGAGGCCGGAGGAAGCAAGGCCGCGUGCGGGAUACGGGCCUUCGGGUUGAAAACCGUUUUGCCCGGUGAGAAAGCGUGAGUGACGGUAAUGAGUAAAGAAGCACCGGCUAACUACGUG